UAGAUGCGAGAGUAGAGCAUAUCAAUAAGCGGAGGAAAAGAAACUAACAAGGAUUCCCCUAGUAACGGCGAGUGAAGCGGGAAGAGCUCAAAUUUGAAAUCUUAAAGGGUUUCCCUUUACGAAUUGUAGUUUAAAGAAGUGUUUUCUGUUGGAGUUUCGGUAAAAGUUCUUUGGAAUAGGACAUCAUAGAGGGUGAGAAUCCCGUAUUUGGUCAUACCUCCUAGCGUUGUGAUACACUUUCAAAGAGUCGGAUUGUUUGGGAAUGCAGUCCAAAAUGGGUGGUAAAUUUCAUCUAAAGCUAAAUAUUGGCGAGAGACCGAUAGCGAACAAGUACCGUGAGGGAAAGAUGAAAAGAACUUUGUAAAGAGAGUUAAACAGUACGUGAAAUUGUCAAAAGGGAAGCGUUUGACACCAGUGUUGUUUAGUUGAAAAUCAAUUCAAUAAUUUUUGAUUUUGAGUAGUAUUGACUUCAUCAGCUUGCUGCUUUCUUUUCGGAAAUUAUUGAAUGCACUUUUCAGUUAACAAGUCAACAUCAAUUUCUUUUGUUGUAAAAGGGUAAGAGGAAGGCUGGCUUACGCUUCGGCGUAAGUGUUUAUAGCCUCUUACCUCUGCAAUCGGAGAGAUUGAGGACAGCAGCGUAGACUCUUCGGGGUUAGAUACACUUGUGCUAAGCUAUAGCCUUGUAUAGACAACUUGUUGACUAUGCUCAGUCAUGUAGCUUACUCGCUUAGUGCUAUUUUACCUACGCUUAGGAUGUUGACACACGCGCGUGCUCG
rnacentral:rRNA from 1 species